GACGAACGCUGGCGGCGUGCUUAACACAUGCAAGUCGAACGGAAAGGCCCUGCUUUUGUGGGGUGCUCGAGUGGCGAACGGGUGAGUAACACGUGAGUAACCUGCCCUUGACUUUGGGAUAACUUCAGGAAACUGGGGCUAAUACCGCAUAGGAGCUCCUGCUGCAUGGUGGGGGUUGGAAAGUUUCGGCGGUUGGGGAUGGACUCGCGGCUUAUCAGCUUGUUGGUGGGGUAGUGGCUUACCAAGGCUUUGACGGGUAGCCGGCCUGAGAGGGUGACCGGCCACAUUGGGACUGAGAUACGGACCAGACUCCUACGGGAGGCAGCAGUGGGGAAUAUUGCACAAUGGGCGGAAGCCUGAUGCAGCAACGCCGGGUGCGUGAAGACGGCCUUCGGGUUGUAAACCGAUUUCGCCUGUGACGAAGCGUGAGUGACGGUAAUGGGUAAAGAAGCACCGGCUAACUACGUG
rnacentral:rRNA from 1 species